UCGUCCCUCUCUUGUUCCCAGCAUCCCAUUUUCUGGCUCCCUGUCUUGCACCUCUGUGUCCCUCUGUCCUUCCUCCUGCUUUACUCUUCCCUUUUAUCACCCCAUCCUGCUGCCUUUGGGCACUGAGCCUUGUAGCCAACUCAUUGCCAGGAUUUCUUAUAUGCAUUAAUGAAUAAAUUUUUCCUGCCUCCUCUGUGUCCCUGGAUGUGGUUGCUUGAGACUGGCUGGGCAUCGGUCAGUUGGUGGUUUCUUAUAGGCACCCUUUACAUACCAUGAAGUCUGCUAUAAGGUCUCCUGCAAAG